GGAUUGCGAUCAGAUGGAUGGAGGAAAAGAGGACGAUGUGAACAUCGUGAACGCACACCUUUCCUACCGCGAUAGUAAUAUAGAAAUAAUCAUGAACUCUCUUGGAGUGCUUAGUGCAUUACUCAUGAAAAUGGAAAAGAGUGCAUUAUGAGCACGGCGGCUCUAUCAGAGCGUGAUACAUUCACAAGCUGAAGAGGGCUCGGUCAUCCGGACCGGAAUUCGUAAAGGCAUUAGUGCAUUAGCAUCGUCACCACUCGCGCCGUCGUACUACCUCGCCGACUCCCUCGCUUCGCAGAUCGCACUAAAGGGAACACAUGGAUCUAGCUUGAUUUUGUACCAAAUUCAGAGCAACUGAUCGUGGGGAUUCGAUUCUCCAUAGUUUAUUUGCGGGGCCGUUCCGAUCAGCGAUGGUGAAGAGGCUCAGGCGCAAGGGCGACGUCUCCUCCGCGCCGCCGCCUAAGGCCGCCGCAUCUCGGUCAACCAAUCCCGACAAAUUUAAAAAGAAGGGGGUCAAAACCGAUCCGGAGAAAUUGAAGGCGGCCUGCACUGAAUCCGCAAACAUUGCUGAGGCGUCUGCUUCAGCGCAGACACCCACCCCGAAACCAGUCAAGACGAGUCCGGCGGCCGCCGCCGCCGCAGAGAUUGCAGAUGAUCGGGUCGCCCAGAGCAAAACGGAGGACGGAAAGUUUAGUAGGAAGGAGACGAUGAAGGGAAGAGAGGAGCAGAAGGGAGAAGGGGCCAGUGAUGGGGUCACCCAGACCAAGACUGAGGAUAUGAAUGUGACUAGGAAGGAAACGAUGAAGGGGGGAGAGAGGAAGGGGGACGGGAGUAGGAAGGAGAUGAUGAAGGGGAGGGAAGAGCGUGUGAAAACGGAAGAGAAGACAGGGAAGGAAAAGGAGGAGGAAAAGAGUGGCUCAGGAUUCAUAUUCAUGUGCAGUGCAAGGACGAAGCCAGAAUGCUACCAGAACGGCGUGUUUGGCCUUCCCAGGGGGAAGAUGGAUGUGGUGGAGAAGAUCCAGCGAGGGACGAAGCUGUUCUUGUAUGAUUUUGACCUCAAGCUACUGUAUGGGGUGUACAAGGCAGAUACAAGGGGAGGAUUGGAUCUUGUGCGUCACGCCUUUGAUGGCAAAUUCCCUGCACAGGUUAAAUUUAGCGUUUUCAAGGAUUGUCUUCCUAUUCCUGAGAGUAGUUUCAAGCAUGCCAUUAAGGAGAACUACAGCUCAAAGGGCAGGUUCACCCAAGAGCUCAACACUAAACAAGUUCAAAGACUAUUGGCACUGUUCAAGCCUAUCAGCCUUUCUAAACCAGCUCCACAACAUAUUGAGGAUAUUCGAAAACCAAGUGAUUAUGAAGAAAGAAGACAGUUGCAACAUAUUGAAGAAAGGGCUGCACCUAUUAAUGUCCACGCACAUCCUCUUGAAGAUCGGUACAAGAUGACACGGUCAUUACAUCCGCCACUUUUUGAUGAGCCUCGACGUGGUUUGGUGCUAAAUCCUUAUCAUAUGCAAGAGCCUCAACAUGUUCCUCUUAAUUACUAUCACCAAGUGGCUACUAGGUCUCCAUACCAUCAACCUCAUAUGGAUAUUAUGCACGAAAGUUCAACUAUGUCGACAACCAUGUUCAACCAUUGCCUUUUGAUUCGUCAUUAGGAAAGCCAAGCUCACUCACUUAUUGGCUUGCAGUUAGCUAACAUACAAACCAUAUGUGUGUUUUGAUUGCUCUUCAAUGGUUACAUGUUUUUUUUGAACUGCAGCUGAGGUAACUGUAAGAGAUCACCAAGCACUGCCAGGAGAGCUUGCUGCACGGUCUGAACGCGUGGAUGAGCUGUACCGUUCUUACAAACUCUCUACACGCGCAAUGGACCUCAGUCCGGGAGCAUCCUACCUGACAACUUAUGAGCACCCGACUAGUGUUUAUGGUGAGGGCAUUCAGAGGCCAGCUUUGACAAGGGUUAGUGGCCCAAGUGUGCCUGUGUCCACCCGUUAUUCCUUUGCUGGCCCACCAGCAUAUUGAUCAUCCAGAUGCAAGCACUCAAAUCGGCCCCAGCCGCUGUACAAGUUACUGUAGGCAAUGGCUUCUUGUACACCGUUGGAAGCCAGGAUAGAACCUGAUGGUAGUAGCUUUGCAGUUUAAUUAUUGCCUUUGGUUUCUUUUGCAAGAUAAAUCUAUGAGAUGUAAUGUGGACCUUGUUUGACCCAAGUUGUUUUAACUAAAAUGCAAAACGAUGGAUGUCUUUGUGUUGAUU